AGUAGAAUAGCUCACUUCAGGCAUUUUUUUAUGUAAAGGUAGUGUUUACAUUGCCUCUAGGAACACCUCCAAAUGGCCACUGGAGGUGGUGCUGAAAAAACAGCCCUGACGUUCGGCAUCCCUGCGCUCUGCAUGCAGGCACAGAAUUUUACUCAUAGAUGCAUUAUUAUGUUAUUAUUUAUAUAGCACCAACAAAUUGUGCAGUGCUUUACAAUGCAUUGAUUCAAUGCAUCUCUUUGAGGAAGUCCUGAUUGGUCAAAAAAAGCAUUUGGCCCCGCUCCCGUGCUGAUUUUAGCCAAUCUAAUGCUUUCCCAUCGCCAAAAAUUGGCCAUUUUGAUGAUGUCACAAAGGGGGCAGGGCCAGUGCCAGCUGACCCGCACGGCGCUGGAAAUAGUCAGUUUUAAAAACUUGUGUGGGGGCAAGCCACCUAAAUGGUGGGAUAAACACUAUAGGGUCAGGAAUACAUGUUUGUGUUCCUGAUCCUGUAGUGUUCCUUUAAGCAUAUGCGGACAGGAAAAAAAAUUAAUGCAAGGACUUUUCUCCCGCUAACAGAAGAUCAGGGCGGUCAGAGCAGAUUCAUCUUUUUUUAUUUUACAUUGAAUUUAUAUUCCUCUGCACAGUUCUGCAAAAACAACUGUGUGGUGUGAAUCCAAAAUGAUAGGUUCUUUCCAGGUGAAGAGUAAAAUAAAGCCAAGACUAAGUUUUACAAACAAAGGUUAAUCCUUUAUUGACCAAUUUGUUUAUUAACCACUUAUGGACCCCAUGAUGUCGAAUGCCUCCCAACUUUGGAAUGUGUGGGUGGAGUUUUGUGGGGGCUCGCCAGGGAUACAUGCUAUAAUGCCCACAGUGGGGUGGACUGUGUAAGUAAGGGGUGGUCUUGUUCAACAAGAGGACUGGCCAACCUGAAAAUGGGUAGGGUGUGCCAUCCGACAAGCAGCCUGGCAAGCCCCCUUCAAUCAGGACCGUAAAGAGAGCGCAGAUAAAGCGCUCCCUGCAUGGUCCUAAUGCUGCUACACAGCACAAGUACUAAUGAUUUGCUGCUGCACGAGGACAGUUCCUUGGUGUCCAGCCAAAAGCAGGACAGUUGGGAGGCGUGCUUUCAUGCCCAGUGACGCAGUAGACCAUCAUAUAUAUAUAUAUAUAUAUAUAUCAUAAAUAUCAUUGUGUGUGUGUGUGUAUAUUUUUUAAUGUAGACACAACUUCUUAAGACACGUGAGAUAUUUUAAUUUUACAACUGCUAUAGUUUAUGAUUACGGUACUGAUUUAAUAUACAUUUAAGAUGUAGUAUUGGAUGAUGUACAUUCAUUGUAUUUCCCUUGUUUUUGUUAUAGUUAUCUUUUCUGUAUUGUUAUUGAAAAAUAUAUUAAUAAUAAUAUUUGGCAUUAUUGUUAUUCUAUUGUUUUAUUGUUUGAUUAUUUGCUGUGUCUGCUUUGUGAUUUCAAUUUUUUUCACCUGUUCCAUCCUACCGCUACAUUACACCCUAGAG